rnacentral:rRNA from 1 species
UACGGGGGGAGCAAGCGUUGUUCGGAAUCACUGGGCGUAAAGGGCGUGUAGGCGGUUUGGUAAGUGGGAUGUGAAAUGCCUCGGCUCACCCGAGGACCGGCAUCCCAAACUGCCAAGCUUGAGUAUGGGAGAGGAUGUGGGAAUUCCGUGGUGUAGCGGUGAAAUGCGUAGAUAUCAGGAGGAACACCGGUGGCGAAGGCGCACAUCUGGCCCAAUACUGACGCUGAGGCGCGAAAGCUAGGGGAGCAAACGGG